UGGGGAAUAUUGCACAAUGGGCGGAAGCCUGAUGCAGCGACGCCGCGUGGGGGAUGACGGCCUUCGGGUUGUAAACUCCUUUCACCAUCGACGAAGGUUUUCUGACGGUAGAUGGAGAAGAAGCACCGGCUAACUACGUGCCAGCAGCCGCGGUAAUACGUAGGGUGCGAGCGUUGUCCGGAAUUACUGGGCGUAAAGAGCUCGUAGGUGGUUUGUCGCGUCGUCUGUGAAAUUCCGGGGCUUAACUCCGGGCGUGCAGGCGAUACGGGCAUAACUUGAGUACUGUAGGGGAGACUGGAAUUCCUGGUGUAGCGGUGAAAUGCGCAGAUAUCAG
rnacentral:rRNA from 1 species